CACCUUGCACCUUUAAUAACUAUGAACACAACAUUCCCAUCUAGUCCUGACUCAAGGUUACACAUUCAUCAAAAGCCAUUUUUUAAAACAAGAGAGUCACUAGAAGUGCAGUAUCAUAUUUGAAAUGGUACACCAUCAACAAUAUGACCAUGCCACUAGAAGAGUACAAUAUUAAUUCAUUAACCAGCAUUAUUACAGCAGGACCAGCUUACCCGGUUAGACCAGAAAACCAAUGGCAAUUCAUUUACCUUGGUUGGCUGAGCAACUAGACUGUUUAAACAACAACAUAGUUAAAACCCAG
rnacentral:misc_RNA from 1 species